AUCAAAAUUCUUUAUUGAUAUUUCUGUUUUAAUAAUGGUGGAAUAUUACAAGUUUAUAAUUGUUAUUUCUAGGAAAACUUGUUAGUUUAGAAGAUGAAAAUCAUCCAGAUUGAGUUGGUUCCGUGACAAGACAUGGGUCAUAAUUGUACAAAUCUGAAAAAAAGGAUGAUAUUGAGAGAAAACUAAGGGCUGACUAAAGAAGAAAAGUACAAUAUGAAGCCAUUCUUAACACGUCUGAAGCAGAACCUCAUCGGGUGAUUGAAACAGAUGUUUGAAUCAACAGUUUUAGUGUACAAACAUACAUCACGAUGGAUGACUUAUGCAACAAAUUUGAGUAGCUUAGUUUUGCAACAUCUAAAAUUAGUAAUUUCGCCUUAUUGCAGAUUACAUACCGUUUACACAAAUGACAGCUCUAGGCAAGUUUAAAAGAUUUGGCUUAUCGUUUUAAAGUGUCUUUUGCUACAGCCUUAACAACAUUUGAAGUAAUCAAUAAUGAUUUAUACAAAAGGUAUAAAACCUUAUAAAUAGAAUGGUACAAUCCAUCUACGAUGCUCUAAAAAAAUAUAACAUAUUGUUUUAAAAUGGCAUUUAGGAGUCGCAGUGUAUUAUUGAUUGUUACUCAAAUAUUUAUUUAUUUAUAACAUUAUAUUGUAAUUCUUAUUUUCACGAGUGUAAAUUGCAAAAUUAGCUUAUUGUUUAUAUAUCGUAAUAAACGAAUAUGUAGUAUAUACUGUUAUACUCCUUAACAAAAAUAUACAAUUGUCAAAUAAACAAUAAGAAAGA
rnacentral:lncRNA from 1 species